GCUCGAGUGGCGAACGGGUGAGUAACACGUGAGUAACCUGCCCUUGACUUUGGGAUAACUUCAGGAAACUGGGGCUAAUACCGGAUAGGAGCUCCUGCUGCAUGGUGGGGGUUGGAAAGUUUCGGCGGUUGGGGAUGGACUCACGGCUUAUCAGCUUGUUGGUGGGGUAGUGGCUUACCAAGGCUUUGACGGGUAGCCGGCCUGAGAGGGUGUACGGCCACAUUGGGACUGAGAUACGGCCCAG
rnacentral:rRNA from 1 species